rnacentral:rRNA from 1 species
GACGAACGCUGGCGGCGUGCCUAAUACAUGCAAGUCGAACGCUGAAGGAGGAGCUUGCUCUUCUGGAUGAGUUGCGAACGGGUGAGUAACGCGUAGGUAACCUGCCUGGUAGCGGGGGAUAACUAUUGGAAACGAUAGCUAAUACCGCAUAAGAGUAGAUGUUGCAUGACAUUUACUUAAAAGGUGCAAUUGCAUCACUACCAGAUGGACCUGCGUUGUAUUAGCUAGUUGGUGGGGUAACGGCUUACCAAGGCGACGAUACAUAGCCGACCUGAGAGGGUGAUCGGCCACACUGGGACGGAGACACGGCCCAGACUCCUACGGGAGGCAGCAGGAGGGAAUCGUCGGCAAUGGACGGAAGUCUGACCGAGCAACGCCGCGUGAGUGAAGAAGGGUGUCGGAUCGUAAAGCUCUGUUGUAAGAGAAGAACGAGUGUGAGAGUGGAAAGUGCACACUGUGACGGUAUCUGACCAGAAAGGGACGGCUAACUACGUG